GGCAUUUGGCUGAGCCGUCUUGUUGCUGAACUGCUGGGGACUAAGCCAGAAAAGUUCACUCUGCUGGUGGACAAUAAAUCUGCAAUAGCACUAGCAAAGAAUCCCGUUUUUCAUGAUCGGAGCAAACACAUCGACGUGAAGUUUCAUUUCAUUCGAGAUUGCGUCGAGGAGAGGGUACUGGAGAUCGAGCAUGUGGGAACCCAAAAUCAGCUGGCUGAUAUUCUAACUAAGGCACUGGGAAGAGUGCGCUUCUUUGAGAUUCGUCAGAAGCUGGCGAUAAGGAAUGAGAAAACAGAAAGCGCUGCGACAGUUUUCGGCAGCAGAAAAACUUCCUCGUUCGUCUACCUCCGCCUCUCUCUCGCUCGACCUCAUCUGAUCGCUCUCGCAAAGUCCGGCAACGACAGCAUCCACCAAGGUAUUCAUCUAAUUACUCAAUGCGCGGUUUCCUCAUGUAGGUGCUGCUGCGUGAUGUGCACCGGGGAUAAGAGCACUUUGUUUGCACUUGGCUCGCACCAUGUGGUGGUGAUUGUGGUUGCCUACAUUCAGCCAAUAUUGCGUAGGAGGUUGAGGGACAUGAGGGCCGGCAAUGAGGGAAUUGGACUAUGCCACGCCCGCUGGCCCUUCCCUUCCUUCCACCUCUCCCUCUUGUGCUCCUUCUCCUCCGUACUGUACUUGCUCCGGCUACCGGCGCCCAUGGCCAGCACAACAGUUAAAAUUCUUCUCAUUAAUGUUUUAGUGAAGUUGUUGAUUUCGUCGAAAGCAGCAAUCAAAGGCAUGCCUGGCUACCCUAAUGAACGCCAAGGGGUUCAGAGAUAUGGGGACGCAGACCAUGUCCAUCACCAGGCCCCGCUGGUGCAUUCUUUGGUAGGUGCACCCGCUUCCACUUGGGCAGUAGCUGCUUCUCCCCGAAGCCCACCACCGCUACUGGCUGCCGCUGCUACUGCUCUUGCUCGUUGGCGCCGCAUGCUGCUGCUUGCCGAAGCCUCAUGCUGCCGUCAUCCUGGAUCUGGUCGCGAGUCGCGACUCACAACAUGCAAAAGCUUCACCACCGCUGGCUCCCAUGAUAUCGUUUUUCUUCCGGCUAUUUCAACGGUGCUGCCCCGCCACUGUUGGUCAUCCUCUUGGAGCCACUUUAGCCAGGAAUGGGUGUACUCCCGCCCGGCGACGUCAAUGGCGAUGGAGGUGUGGAAAGAGUCGGAGGUGGCAAGCAGGGCGAGCGGGGCGGGCGAGGAGCGGCCGAGGCCAAGGCGGCACGGGAGUGCCAGCCAUGAGGCCCGCCUCCACCUGCAAGAACAUCGAGCCGUAGCGCUGGAUCCUUCUGUCUCCCGCGCCCGUCCUCCGUCGCCCAGCUCCGGCGAGCUCCUGCCUAGGUCGCCCCACCGCCCCUCCUUUCUCCCUUCUUCUCUCCCUCACGGCAUCACCUACCUGUCUUCUUUCUCAACCUCCCUGUCUUCUUUCUCCCCGAGACCCACUGAUGCCAUGGAUGCGCCCGGGAAGCCUCGCCGCCGGCCUUGCUCGUUGUCACCGGUGACCCCCGCCUCACUGCCAGCCUCUGGAUCCGCCUCCCAAGCACCUUCCGUGCAUGGAUCUGUCCCCUUCAAGCUCCAUCCGCCGCCGCCCCCAGCCGCUCGUGCCGCCACGCGUUGA
rnacentral:rRNA from 1 species